CGUAACAGCUCACUGGUCUAGUGGUUCCGCGCCGACAAUGUAGCGGGGCUCAAGCACACCACCGAAGACGCGGCAGUAUUUUGUACUGGGUAGGAGAGCGUCCCAUGAGGGGCGAAGCGGCCGUGUGAACGCGCCGUGGACUUCAUGGGAGUGAGAAUGCAGACAUGAGUAGCGAGAGACGGGUGAAGAUCCCGUCCGCUGGAUGACCAAGGGUUCCAGGGCCACGUUCAUCGUCCCUGGGUGAGUCGGGUCCUAAGGCGAGGCCGACAGGCGUAGUCGAAUGGAUGAACGGGUCGAUAUUCCCGUACCGGCUUUCAGCCGCCAAAACCGAGGCUUGGAGUACUAACCUCCGGGUCCGGGCUUACUGCUCCUUCGGGGGCGGGAUGCCCUGGCCUGUUGGGACCGAUCCUUGUAGUAGGUCAGCGCAGGAGUGACGCAGAAGGGUAGCCGGCCGCGGAGGUGGUCUUCCGUGGUCAAGCACGCAGGGCGUGGGACAGGCAAAUCCGUCCCGCAUGGGUCCGAGGUGCGAUGAUGGGGGCCUUAUGGCCCGAUAUCCGGUGAUCCCGGCUGCCGAGAAAAGCUUCGGCGUCAGGCUCGAAGCCGCCCGUACCCCAAACCGACACUGGUGGUCAGGUAGAGAAUACCAAAGCGAUCGAGCGAAUCCUGGUCAAGGAACUCGGCAAAUCACUCCCGUUCCUUCGGUUUAAGGGAGACCCCCGAUGGUGAACACACUUGCUGUGGGAGCUUUUGGGGGUGGCACAGACCAGGGGGUAGCGACUGUUUACCAAAAACACAGGUGCAUGCGAAGGCGCAAGCCGCUGUAUAUGCACUGACGCCUGCCCGGUGCCGGAAGGUUAAGAGGAUCCGUCAGCCUUCGGGUGAAGCGGUGAAUUCAAGCCCCGGUAAACGGCGGUGGUAACUAUAACCAUCCUAAGGUAGCGAAAUUCCUUGUCGGGUAAGUUCCGACCUGCACGAAUGGCGUAACGACUUCCCCACUGUCUCGACCAGGAGCUCGGCGAAAUUGCAGUACGAGUAAAGAUGCUCGUUAAGCGCAGAAGGACGAAAAGACCCCGGGACCUUUACUAUACCUUGGUAUUGGCAUUCGGUGUGGAUUGUGUAGCAUAGGCGGGAGGCCGAGAGGCGCGGUCGCCAGAUCGCGCGGAGCCGUAAGGUGAAAUACCGCUCUGUUCGCAUUGGAUGUCUAACCUCGAACAGUCAUCCUGUUCAGGGACAGUGCCUGGCGGGUAGUUUAACUGGGGCGGUUGCCUCCCAAAGAGUAACGGAGGCGCCCAAAGGUCCGCUCAGCCCGGUUGGCAAUCGGGUGGCGAGUGCAAGUGCACAAGCGGGCUUGACUGCGAGGACGACGGUCCGAGCAGGGACGAAAGUCGGGACUAGUGAUCCGGUGCCGGUGUACGGACGCGGCAUCGCUCAACGGAUAAAAGGUACCCCGGGGAUAACAGGCUGAUCAUUCCCAAGAGUCCAUAUCGACGGGAUGGUUUGGCACCUCGAUGUCGGCUCGUCGCAUCCUGGGGCUGGAGCAGGUCCCAAGGGUUCGGCUGUUCGCCGAUUAAAGCGGCACGCGAGCUGGGUUCAGAACGUCGUGAGACAGUUUGGUCUCUAUCCUCUGCGCUCGUUGGAAUCCUGAGGAGGCCUGCCCAUAGUACGAGAGGACCUGGGUGGACGGACCUCUGGUAUGCCGGUUGUCGCGCCAGCGGCAUGGCCGGUUGGCUACGUUCGGGAGGGAUAACCGCUGAAAGCAUCUAAGCGGGAAGCCUGCUCCAAGAUUAGGAUUCCUUGACGCUCUCCGGAGCGUUUGUAGCCCGCAUGUUGAACACGUGUUCGAUAGGCCGGAGGUGGAAGUCCCGCGAGGGGUGGAGCCGACCGGUACUAACGGGCGAACGCGGCACAC
rnacentral:rRNA from 1 species